UACGGAGGAUCCAAGCGUUAUCCGGAUUCAUUGGGUUUAAAGGGUGCGCAGGCGGGGCAAUAAGUCAGAGGUGAAAUCCUACAGCUCAACUGUAGAACUGCCUUUGAUACUGUUAUCCUAGAGUAUAGUUGAAGUGGGCGGAAUGUAGCAUGUAGCGGUGAAAUGCUUAGAUAUGCUACAGAACACCGAUCGCGAAGGCAGCUCACUAAGCUGAAACUGACGCUCAUGCACGAAAGCGUGGGGAUCAAACAGG
rnacentral:rRNA from 1 species